rnacentral:rRNA from 1 species
GUCGAGAAUAAUUCACAAUGGGGGAAACCCUGAUGGUGCAACGCCGCGUGGAGGAUGAAGGUCUUCGGAUUGUAAACUCCUGUCAUCUGGGAGUAAGACCUGACGGUGAAUAGCCGGCAGGGUUGAUAGUACCAGAAGAGGAAGGGACGGCUAACUUCGUGCCAGCAGCCGCGGUAAUACGAAGGUCCCAAGCGUUGUUCGGAAUCACUGGGCGUAAAGGGAGCGUAGGCGGCGUGGUAAGUCAGAUGUGAAAUCCCGGGGCUCAACCCCGGAACUGCAUCCGAUACUGCCAUGCUUGAGGGUUGGAGAGGUAGCUGGAAUUCUCGGUGUAGCAGUGAAAUGCGUGGAUACCGAGAGGAACACUCGUGGCGAAGGCGAGCUACUGGACAACAUCUGACGCUGAGGCUCGAAGGCCAGGGGAGCAAACAGGAUUAGAUACCCCAGUAGUCC